CCUACGGGUGGCAGCAGUGAGGAAUAUUGGUCAAUGGGCGUAAGCCUGAACCAGCCAAGUCGCGUGAGGGAUGAAGGUUCUCUGGAUCGUAAACCUCUUUUAUAAGGGAAUAAAGUGUGGGACGUGUCCUAUUUUGUAUGUACCUUAUGAAUAAGGAUCGGCUAACUCCGUGCCAGCAGCCGCGGUAAUACGGAGGAUCCGAGCGUUAUCCGGAGUUAUUGGGUUUAAAGGGUGCAUAGGCUGCCUUUUAAGUCAGCGGUGAAAGUCUGUGGCUCAACCAUAGAAUUGCCGUUGAAACUGGGGGGCUUGAGUAUGUUUGAGGCAGGCGGAAUGCGUGGUGUAGCGGUGAAAUGCUUAGAUAGCACGCAGAACCCCGAUUGCGAAGGCAGCCUGCCAAGCCAUGACUGACGCUGAUGCACGAAAGCGUGGGGAUCAAACAGGAUUAGAUACCCCUGUAGUC
rnacentral:rRNA from 1 species